GGGUAGGGAUACCCGCUGAACUUAAGCAUAUCAAUAAGCGGAGGAAAAGAAACCAACAGGGAUUGCCUCAGUAACGGCGAGUGAAGCGGCAAAAGCUCAGAUUUGAAAGCUAGCAUCUUUGAUGUUCGCAUUGUAAUCUGUAGAGGAGUGUUCAAGUAUAGCUUUGACCCAAGUUCUUUGGAACAGGACGUCAUGGAGGGUGAGAAUCCCGUUCAUGGUUAUUGUCUUAUACUUAUGUGAACCUCCUUCAAUGAGUCGAGUUGUUUGGGAAUGCAGCUCUAAAUGGGUGGUAUAUUUCAUCUAAAGCUAAAUAUCAGCAGGAGNCCGAUAGUGCACAAGUAGAGUGAUCGAAAGAUGAAAAGAACUUUGGAAAGAGAGUCAAACAGUACGUGAAAUUGUUGAAAGGGAAGCACUUACACCCAGACUUGUUUGCAGUUGAUCAAUUAUCAUUUUUGAUAGUGCACUCAAUUGUUGGCAGGCCAGUAUCAGUUAGAGUGGUGGGGCAAAGGUGUUGAGAAUGUAGCUCCUUCGGGAGUGUUAUAGCUCUUCAUGUCAUGUCACCUGCUCUGACUGAGGUUCGCAC
rnacentral:rRNA from 1 species